AUAAGAAACAAAGUUUUGUAUUUAGUUUCGACCUAAAAUUUUGGUAAUUUGAGCCCUUAU
rnacentral:tRNA from 1 species